GUCUGCAUGUAGGCUGUGAUUCUGCGGGGCUCUGCUGGAUCGGCUUGCUUGAUUCCAGGCCCAGGUCUGUUGUAUGUAUCUCCUCAUCCUGGGACCAUUGGCUACGCAAGGUUUGAUCUUCUCACGGUCGAUGGCGGAAGUUCAAGAGAUCAAGCUGAGUCACAGAGGCACAUUUAAAGCCUCUGCUUCUAUUGCAUCUACUCACACUACUGGCCACAGCAAGUCACAUGACCAAGACUGACAACCACGGGUCAGAAAGAAUACUCUACCCACAGUGAGAAAAUGUCAAAGCCUCAGGCCACGGGCCCACUUCUCUGCCAGGAGGAGACGACCACUCAGGCUGACCCGGCACACAUUCUGGGACCACAAAGGAAAAAGGUACCUGUAUCACUCAUUUCAGGUGGGAAAAAUCCUGAGGAAAGACGAAGGUGCACGGGUGUUCUCGUGACGGCUGGAUUAUCACUGUUACCAGAAGGAGCGUGGGGUGUGAGGAGCUGAGCAGACAAAAACAGUCGUGUCUACGACGAUGAGAAGUCAGUUCUUAUAAUAAUGACUAUGUCCAUUGAACAAAUAUUUGUUAAGUAUCUAUUAUGGGCCAGACGUGGUUCUAGAUGCUACUUUGUACGAUGAGAAAUGGACAUCACAUUAAAAAAAAAAUACUGAGAUAGAGUUUAUACAUGGUAAAGUUCAGUCUUUGUUUUCUUUUGAGAUAAAAUUCAUAUACUGUAAAAUUCAAACUUUUUUUUUUUUUUUUUUAGAGAGAGAGCAUGAGCAGGGGAGGCGCAGAGGGGGAGAGGGAGAGACAGACAGACAGAGACUCUUAAGCAGGCUUCACCAUGCUAAGCUCGAUCAGGUCUUGAUCUCAUGACCUGGGAUCAUGACCUGAGCUGAAAUCUAGAGUGAGAUACUCAACUGACUAAGCCACCUAAGCG
rnacentral:lncRNA from 1 species